AGGAUAAACGCUGGCGGCGUGCCUAACACAUGCAAGUCGAACGUCCUACGCAAGUAGGGAGUGGCGGACGGGUGAGUAACACGUGGGCAAUCUACCUUUCGGUGAGGAAUACCGGCGAGAAAUCGCCGACAAUACCGCAUACGCUUCGCAAGAAGCAAAGUCGCAAGACGCCGGAGGAGGAGCCUGCGCCCGAUUAGCUGGUUGGUGGAGUAAUGGUCUACCAAGGCGACGAUCGGUAGC
rnacentral:rRNA from 1 species